rnacentral:misc_RNA from 1 species
GCUCCAUUUACAUCUUUGAGAAUUUAAACAUAAUGAAAACAUCUCAAAAUUCUGCGCGCUGCAACUAAGCUAUAUAAAAUGAAUAGAUGGUCAGAACAUAUGAAAUCGCAACCCAGAAACCUUGGAAAUUCAAGCUAUAUAAUUCACAUCCACUGCUCUUUAAACAAUUAUGUGGAGAAAGCUAUACAGAAAAUUAGCUUGAAAUUCAACACCCAUAAAUCUUGGGUUCAUAGAGCUCUAAACAUAGCACAAUUUUGGGCAAUCAACACGAAACUCAGAUGAAUUCUUCAAAUUCCAAUUUGUCAAGUUGGCAAAAGGGAGAACCCAGAUUAGAAAGUAGCUGAAACUCAAACACGCAUGGAUAGUUAGAGUUGAAGGAAUCAAACUUCCCUGAACAAGAAAUAUCAAUUUCUCACUAUCACUACAAAAUCCAAGUACAGUCUUCAAGACCAAAUUCAAGAAAUUGGCAAGUUGAUAUUGAAUUUUACACUUCCAAUUUUGUGCUAAACAACAAUUAUGCCAAGUCCUUGAUAACCUGCUCACCAAACUAACAAAAUAGUUGGUUCAGUAGCUGUAGAUCGAAAUUCCAGCUACAGCUCUCCAAGACCCAGAAAGUGCCAAAAACCCUAUAGUGGAACCAAAUCCUCCUGAAGAAAUAAGAAGAUUGGUUGAAUUUUGUUGAGAGAAGAAUCAAAGAAAGCGAAGACUUACGGGCCUAUAAAUUUUUGUUGGGAAAGAAAGGAG